rnacentral:misc_RNA from 1 species
GAAAUGCGAUAAGUAGUGUGAAUUGCAGAAUUCAGUGAAUCAUCGAAUCUUUGAACGCACAUUGCGCCCUUUGGUAUUCCUUAGGGCAUGCCUGUACGAGCGUCAUCUAAACCUUCAAGCCCUGCUUGGUGUUGGGUGCCUGUCCCGCCUCCGCGCGCGGACUCACCUCAAAUCCAUUGGCGGCCCCCGCGUCGGCCACGAGCGCAGCAGAAACGCGAACUCGUGAGCCCGUCCGGGCGGCUCCCAGAAGCUACACCCACCCAGUUUGACCUCGGAUCAGGUAGGGAUACCCGCUGAACUUAAGC